GACGAACGCUGGCGGCGUGCCUAAUACAUGCAAGUCGAACGCACUCUCGUUUAGAUUGAAGGAGCUUGCUCCUGAUUGAUAAACAUUUGAGUGAGUGGCGGACGGGUGAGUAACACGUGGGUAACCUGCCCUAAAGUGGGGGAUAACAUUUGGAAACAGAUGCUAAUACCGCAUAAAACCUAAACACCGCAUGGUGUAGGGUUGAAAGAUGGUUUCGGCUAUCACUUUAGGAUGGACCCGCGGUGCAUUAGUUAGUUGGUGAGGUAAAGGCUCACCAAGACCGUGAUGCAUAGCCGACCUGAGAGGGUAAUCGGCCACACUGGGACUGAGACACGGCCCAGACUCCUACGGGAGGCAGCAGUAGGGAAUCUUCCACAAUGGACGAAAGUCUGAUGGAGCAACGCCGCGUGAGUGAAGAAGGUUUUCGGAUCGUAAAACUCUGUUGUUGGAGAAGAAUGUAUCUGAUAGUAAACUGAUCAGGUAGUGACGGUGUCCAACCAGAAAGCCACGG
rnacentral:rRNA from 1 species